GUGCACUCCAUUGAUAUGUUCUGUAUAAUGUUUCUCUGUCUUCAGGAGAGAAGUGUAUUUCAUGUAAAGGGAAAUGGUUUACGCCCAGACAGUUUGAGGAGUUUGGAGGAAAAGGGCAUCACAAGAAGUGGAAGGGUAGCAUCUAUUACAAGCCAUCAUAUGGUCGUCAACAAGUUAAAUUACUGAAACUCAUACAAGUAUGUAUUCAGCUAGUGUGAAAUCUGAGUUUAUUUGACAUUUUUUUAUAAGCAUAUGUGAACUUCAUCUUAUUUAAAUGAACUUUCCUUUUUCUCCUAGAAUGGGUGCCUUUCAGAGUUUGGACAACUGAGGGAGUCAGUUAGACAGGUGACGCAGACAGAGAGAGAUGGUGCAAACGCAGUGCAAAAUGUAACAGGAAGGAGUGAAUUAAUUAACUCCUUAAAAGGUUUUCCAGAGUCCUGGAAAAGACUGUUUUCCAAGACUCUGGAAAUACCUGUGUGUGGAAUCAAAGAGAAAACAAUCCAGCCGGGCAGUUCUUCAGAUGAGUCUGUAUCUGUUGCUGAGAGAGUCAAAAUGAACAGGAGAGAAUCUGUGAUUUUAGCUGAAACUGUCAGUAAAAAGAUGACAGAAACGGUAGAAUCUACUGCCAGUGCUAGAGAUUCAUCUGCACCUCCCACUGAUGCUACAGAACCUGCAUUAUCUCCUGUCGUAGAGGAGGCCAAUCAGACCACAGAUGAAGCAGCAGCAGCUCAGCUGAACUUCAGUGAUUCACCUGCUGAAUGGCAGAAUCCUGUUGUUUCUGAAGAGACUGAGAAGACAGGCCAGAUGCAGCUAUUUGAAUUUCUGGCAAACCAGUUUAAUACCAUCAACAACACCCUAAAAUCAAUUGAUUUGUCUUUGAAGAAGCUGGUAGAAAAACAGUCACAAAACACACUGCCUCAAUACAUCAGUCUAACUCCUGCUGUUAUUGAAAAUCCCCAGAUUCACUCCUCAGUCAAAGAGGAGCAAAUCAUGUAAGUUUUAAAUCACUGAAGUAGACUAAACUUUGACACUGAACAAAUUAGGGGUAAUUCUGAGAAAGCAGAACUGUGAUCUGAGAGGUUAUGAUUAAAAAUAUAUAUCUUUACUAGAUAAUUAUUACACAAAUUUUGUUUUAAUGUGCAAUAGCCAAGAAAAUUAACAUCUUUUGGUAAAGUCUUUUGCUGUUUUUUUGCCACACAUUUAAAAUGU
rnacentral:lncRNA from 1 species